ensembl:lncRNA
GAGCUAUAGGAGUCCACAUGCAAAGGGGGCAGAGAGAGGGUCUAGGAAUGAAAGGUGGUCCCCAGCUGGCAAAAUAAUAGGGAGAGCAGUCUUGCAACAGCAAGAAACUAGGUUCUGCCGACAAUCUGAAUGGGCCUGGAAGUGGAUUCUUCCCAUGACCAACCAAUUAGAGCCACCUGGACAACACCUUGACUUUCACCCUGGCAAGACCCUGGGUGGAGAAAACCAGUCCAGCUGUCUGGACCCUGGACCUGUAAAGCUGUGAGAUCUUAGAGGUAGGUUUUUUUAAAGUUUGUAGCAAUGUUGUUAUGGCAACAGAAAACUAACGAUCCUCAAAGAGUAUGAGCUCUUCUGGGACAGAAACAAUAACCACUACCCACUGUAGAAUCCUCAGUCCCUGCCAGAGUGCCCGCCCCCUGGUAGGCACUCAGAAAACAGUAUCUGUACCAACAGAAACCUGCUCCUCCACCAGGACUUACUUUGGGGGUAAUUUUUUAUGGUGUGUUUGGAAAACAGAAUCUAGUCCUCCAACAGCAAUUGGUGGGGAAGUUUUCACAGGAAGAUACUUAGAAAGCGGGCCUGGCCUUCUCUGCAGGCUGAGUGACUGGAGCCCCAGGGGCCUCUUGACCCUGGACUUUCCCAGUGGGUGAAAGACAGCUGUUCCCUGGAGAAGAAACAGGUCCUCGUGUCUGCUCCCUGUAUGCAGCCCCCUCAGAGCACUGUUUACAAAAACCAAGACAUGGGAGCAACCUGAAUGUCCAUCGACAGAUGAGCGGACAAAGACGAUGCGGUACACAUACACAGUGGAAUACUACUCAUCCCUAAAAAAGUAAUGCCGUUGGCAGCGACGUGGAUUGCUAGAGAUUAUCAUACUAAGUGAAAGAAGACAGCAGAAUGCGCACGUGUAUGAUUUAAGUGAUUCCAAAGCACAUACCAGCAUCGUCAUCCCCUCCCCAGCCCCCCAGAUUAAUUAUGAAAUAGAACCUUGCUAGAAUCCCAGAAGUUUGAAUUCAGAAGCUUGAGCUCCUGUGUUCCCCUCAUGGCAGCCCAUCACCCCCCUCUCUUCCCCCGCACCCAGACUCUGUCCUGAAUCUGGUGUGAACCAUUUUCUUGCUUUUAUCAUUGAACUGUGAAUGCAUAUACAUGCCUGCUCAGUUGCUAAGGCAUGUCCAACUCGUUGGGAUCCCAUGGACUGUGGCCCGCCAGGUUCCUCUUGUCCAAGGGACUCUCCAGGCAGGCAGGAAUACUAGAGUGAUACCUGUUUUCUGAAGUGGUUGCAGCCAAAAAAAAGUACAUUCUUUUCGCACAUAAAUGAAGACAGUGCGUCAGCUGGUAUGGUACUCCAUGGUAUAAGAUCCUUCCAUUGUGCUUCAUUCUCCUCUGCACAGGACUGGAGCUGCUUAAACUCCCAGAAGACUGCUUGAGCUCCAGCCAUCACAUCUAAAUUCCAGCCAACAAAAAGGAGGAAAAAAAAAAGUUUCACCCUUUUCCUUUGAAUAUACUUUCAGAAAGUCACACUAGCCACUUCCUCUUAUUUCCCAGUGGCCAGACUUAAUCUCAUGGACACAAUAAACUGCAAAUGAUUGUAGGAAAUGUAGUCUUUAUUCUCGGUACCAACAUGCCCAGCUAAAAGUUGAGAGUUCCAUCAUGAAGGAAGAAGAGAGAAUAGAUUUGUAGGACAAUGAACAAUCUCUGCCAUAGAC